GAGCGAUCAAGUGCCUUAAGAGCAUUCGGUGGAUGCCUUGGCGCUGAGAGGCGAUGAAGGACGUGGUACGCUGCGAUAAGCCUUGGGGAGCUGCGAACGAGCUUUGAUCCAGGGAUUUCCGAAUGGGGAAACCCACCUUCGACCCUUCGUAUUGCGAGGCUGCGGGGCAACCCGUGGUCUGGCACUACGAUGGGUCGCAUGAAGGUAUCAGACCCUGAAUCCAUAGGGGUUUGAAGCGAACCCGGGGAACUGAAACAUCUAAGUACCCGGAGGAAAGGACAUCAACGAGACUCCGUCAGUAGUGGCGAGCGAACGCGGAUCAGGCCAGCGCCUGGAAUGAGUUUACCGGAACGGUCUGGAAUGGCCGGCGAGAUGGGUGACAGCCCCGUACGGGACGGACGAAUUCCAGGACACGAGUAGGGCGGGACACGUGAAAUCCUGUCUGAACAUGGGGGGACCACCCUCCAAGCCUAAGUACUCCUCAGCGACCGAUAGCGAACCAGUACCGUGAGGGAAAGGUGAAAAGCACCCCGACGAGGGGAGUGAAACAGUACCUGAAACCGGAUGCUUACAAACAGUGGGAGCCCAAGAUCCGUUCUGGGUGACCGCGUACCUUUUGUAUAAUGGGUCAGCGACUUAAAGUAGUGGGCAAGCUUAAGCCGAUAGGUGGAGGCGCAGCGAAAGCGAGUCUGAACAGGGCGUUCAGUCCGCUGCUUUAGACCCGAAACCGAGUGAUCUAGCCAUGUGCAGGAUGAAGGUGGGGUAACACCCACUGGAGGUCCGAACCAGUGCCCGUUGAAAAGGUCUUGGAUGACGUGUGGCUAGGGGUGAAAGGCCAAUCAAACUCGGAAAUAGCUGGUUCUCCGCGAAAGCUAUUUAGGUAGCGCCUCGCGUGCUCGAUCUUCGGAUCGACGAUAUGCCUUGCGGGGUAGAGCACUGGAUGGGCUAGGGCCGCCCACAGCGGUACCGCACUCAACCAAACUCCGAAUACGCAAGAGCACUGCGCGGGAGACACACGGCGGGUGCUAACGUCCGUCGUGGAGAGGGAAACAACCCUGACCUACAGCUAAGGCCC
rnacentral:rRNA from 1 species